rnacentral:lncRNA from 1 species
AAUCAACUCAUGAAACCAGAAGAAUCACCAAAUCACCUAAGUUUCAUAGUAGAUAUCCAAUUUAUUUGUUUUGCUUUGCUGUUUUAAAAACUACAUUAUCCCCAUAAGAUAUAGAUCUCAUCGAAGCAAAGGUUCGACUACAAAGGAUUCUGCAGAUGAAACGAGGGACCCUUCGGUGACCUGAGUGAGGAGGGAACAGGCCUUGUGCUAGCUCAGGGAACAGCAGUAGCCACAGUGGGUGACAAGCGCUGAACAGCUUUUCCCGCCCACUGUUCCCCCGGGCCUGAGUAGGGCAGGGACAGAUGGGGGAGUUGGGGUCAACGAUAAGAUUCACAAGCGGAGCUUCCCUGAGAACAGAGCAGGCAAACAGGAAGAGCUCUAGAGUGCGGAGGAGAAGUGGGGCAGGCCAGGCGGGAGCAAAGGCCCAGGCCGUAAAUGAUGAGACUGUCCUGCUGAUGUUUCCUCUAGAGAAGUCCAAAAGUUAUUUCGCAUCUUCAACUCGGUUUGAAAGGAACCGCUGAAAUAGGACUUGAGAGUUGUGAUGGUUAAUUUUAUGUGUCAACCUGGCUGAGCCAUGGGGCGGGUCCGUGAUGGUGUUUCCGAAUGAGGUUAGCAGUGGAAUCAGUGGCCUCAGUGAAGUCGACUGCUCUCCCCAAUGUGGGUGGGCCUCAUGCAAUCUGUUGAGAGCCUGCAUAGAACAAAAAGGAGGAAGGAGGAAUUCGUCCCUUUUGCUUCCUACCUGCCAGGUUGAGCUGGGACCUCGGUCUUCUCCUGCCCUUGGACGAGGAUUUACACCAUCAGCUCCUCUGGUUGUUAGGCCUUUGGACUCAGACAGGAAUUACACAUCGGCUUUGCUGGGUCUCCGGCUUUUAGAUGCAGAUCGUGGGACUUCUCAGUCUCUGUAAUCAUGUGAGCCAGUUCCUCAAACACAUCUUUUUAUCUAGACCUGUCCAUCUCUUAUUGGUUCUGUUUCUUGGGAGAAUCCUAGUACAAGAGAAAAAACAAGUCUAUUAAUCAUCACAGAGGGAAAUAAACCUACACUCACCCAGCGCAGGAGCAGUCUCUCAGAGAUCUGUAUUUCCUACACGGCCUAAAACCUACAAGCAAGGGUUUCACACACAGGUAGGAGUUUCAGUGAAUUAAUGAAUGCAACCUCCAAAUUGCUAACAUUUAAAAACACUCAUUAGGACUGUAUUAUUAAUCUCAAAAAGAAAACAAAACUGUAUCACACAGUGACCAUCCUGCCUUUACAGUUCUCGCCCGGACUCCUUUAGAAUGAGACUGAAGUACAAGGUCAGGAACGUGUAGAACAGACAGC